GAAUUUCAAUGGCCAAAGGAUUAGGGAAAAUUGACCGAGAAAAUGGUCGAUUGUCAAGAAAAUGCUUCUUUCUUGGUUGGGAGAGAGCUCCUCACGCCCACGCCUUUCUUUGAACAAGAUCUUCGGGAGUCGUGUUAUUGUGAUGUCACAUCAAAUCGUUCAUUGUCACAGCAAUCUCUCGAAGGAAACCAAAUCAAUGGAGAGUUUAGGACGCCUAAUUUCACUCAAGUUCUGACCGAAGACGUUGAAAACGUGCUUGGAACGACUUGAUCAGGUAUUAGAAAUGAAUAGGCCAUGGUACCGUUGAAUUCCUCCAAUAUAUGAGGAAGUCAUUGGUCCCAAACGUACCUCGAAGCCAGCCUUUUUCUGCUGAUGAAGAGAGAGUCUAAUCUAGACAGAGCGACUAAUUUGGAGAUCUCAAUUUUUACCUCAUAAAUCUCCAUGCGAACAGCUUUAAAGGUCUCUCAUUCCAAUUUUGGUUAAUGGAAUGUUGCCUCAAAUUGACUUGGAGAGCUGAUCCUACCGAAUUUGCGGCCAAAGGAGCCAAAUUUUUAUCCAUGGGGAUGGGAUCUCAUUUCCUCUACGACUUAUCUUGCACAGAUGUUGUCGGCUCCAAAGACACAUUCGGUUAAAUGACUCUAUAGCUUCCACCUGACUUGGUCGGAUUCUAGAGUACCGUAAUUGGAUUGGCUGCUGGCAAGGUUGACGACAGACGUUGUAAAAACAUAGACCACCCUCAAAGCUGAGGGACAGGGCAUUCCUGACCCGAACGAUCCGUUUCUUGCCCGUCCAUCCAAGUUUAGUCUCUGAUCAUGAAAUUGGACACGAAGAGAGCGAAAUAGUUACGAUGGCGGUUGGGUUAACUCUCCUACCCAAGUAGAGGACAGCACAGAUUGAAAACUCGGAACAGAUUACCGCGAGUACGUGGAGAGGCCAUCCAUCACGAAUGGUAUUUCCAGAAUCAAUGAGUCAGCUUGGGAGAAACUUUGAAAAAUGUCGGCUGCUGUCAAAAGUGCUCAAUUACGAGGACUGGGUGAAUAUCUCAAAAA